rnacentral:lncRNA from 1 species
CUAACGCCAUUGGUCAGGAUCAAUGCAGUCAAUAAGUAAACGGAGGCCGGCGGCGCGAGAGACAAAGCGCGCGAACUUCGCGGGCUCGAGGACGUCGGCGGAGCGCGAGCUGCGUCGCGACUGUCCGCCUCACCCACACAGGGACUACAGUAUGUUUAUUCCAAGAAAACCGUUGACUCUAUAUACCAUACUUCCCUGCAUGUUAUGUGGAAAAAACCUCAACCCAUCACAGCUGUCGAUUAUGGCAAAGCUGCAGUGAAACUGAAAAAAAGAGGAUAACUGAAAAUAAAUGAAAGUCUGAAUUCCUCCA